CUUCUGUCGAGCGAGCUGCGUCAGCGCAGCCAGCCCGGCAGGCCCAGGCAGGAGCCCAGCCUCGCCACACGGCACCGUCGUAUGGCUUUCAUGGACGUCCGCACCUAGCCAGAACAGCUCAGCUCAGCUCAGCUCCUAGGAAGCUUCAGCCCUGCUUAAUUAGAGACUAUAUCCUGGAACGAGUUGCCCAGCAAGCUGAUGGAGGCCAUAUCUCUGCAGACAAUUCAGGGUCAAAAUUGAUGGGGCCCUGCCCACAGCAGCGGGGUUGGACAAGGCACAGGGUGGGGAUGGACUUCUGCAAUGAAGCAAGAGAGUCAUCUAUGAGGCCAAGUCUACUGUAAUGGUAAAGUUUAUUGCUUAUUCAGUGAGGUGAUGCUCUUGUCAGUCAAGAAGGACUUAGUUGCAGAGGCUUUAGAAAUACUUUGAUGUAAGCUUGUUGCUAUGCUGUGCCUAGUGUAUCUAUUGUCACUAUCUAUAACUGGGCUUAAACCAAAUGAACUUCUUGAUUAAAACAGCCAAUCAUGUCUGCCA